rnacentral:rRNA from 1 species
ACACUUACCUGGUUGAUCCUGCCAGCACGGUUUGCUACACUCAAGGACAUAAGCCAUGCAAGUGUCAGUGGAAGGAACUUUUUAUACUGGAACUGCGAACAGCUCAGGAGCCCAUUUUUAAUGUCCUCUUUGAUCUUCCACUCACACGGAUAACUGUGAUAACUCAGAGCUAAGACCGCGCUAAAAAAGCCUAUGCCUUCGGGGGUAGGUUGCGCAGCUUGGAUUUCAACCGGUGGAAAUUUAUUUCCCGUGGUGACUCACGAGCUUCGUGCUAAUGACUGUGCCCUUUGGGGUUAGUCAUGCAAAGAAACAAAUUUGGAGCUAUCAUGUAGACGCUAGGGUAGUGGCCUAGCGUGCAAGCCACAGCUACAGAGAAUCAGGGUUCGAUUCUGGAGAGGCCGCGCGAGCAUCAGCGACCAUUUCUAAGGAGCAGCAGCAGGCGCGCAACUUCCCCAAUAGACAUGUGUCUGAGGGAGCGACGAGGGAUACCGCUUGGGAAGGAAGCUUCGCUUCUCUUUCCGCGGAAUGAACGGUCUGAAAAGACGCCGUGACGCAUUGGAGGGCAAGUCUGGUGCCAGCAGCCGCGGUAAUUCCAGCUCCAAGAGCGAACUUUGACGUUGCUGCGAUUGAAAAGCUCGUAGUCGGUGUUAUGACUUGCUGCAGUUCCAGGGGAUACUAAGUGUCCCCCAGAGCUCAGCUGUCACUUAUGGAAACUUCUGCCAUUUAUGGUAGGCGUUUCCCGCUCACUUUGAGGAAAUUAGAGUGUUUAUAGCAGGCUUCACGCCUGGAUACCUCAGCAUGGAAUGACGAAAUAGGACCGUGGGCUCCAAUUUCGCCGGUUGGGUGCGAGCUCGGGUAAUGACUGAUAGGAACGGUCGGGGGCCUUAUUACUGCGGGGAUAGAGGUGAAAUUCUAUGACCCCCGCAUGAAUAACCGGUGCGAAAGCGUUGGCCAAGGACGUUUCCAUUGAUCAAGAGCGAAGGUUAGGGGAGCCAAGGAGAUUAGACACCUCUGUAGUCCUAACGGUAAACUAUGCCAUCAGGCUCUUACAGCGUUGGUUGAAGACCUCCGGGUCGUGUGCCUCGCUGUAGGAGCUCUCGAGAAAUCAAAGAUUGGUUUCGGGGGUAGUACGUUCGCAAGGAUGAAACUUAAAGGAAUUGACGGAAGGGCACCACCAGAAGUGGAGCCUGCGGCUUAAUUUGACUCAACACGGGAAAACUCACCAGGGCCAGACUCAGCGAGGAUUGACAGCAUAGCGGGGCUUUCUUGAUUUUGGGGGUGGUGGUGCAUGGCCGUUCUUAGUUGGUGCUGUGGAGUGUCUGCUUAAUUGCGAUAACGAACGAGACCAUCGGAGUAGAAUACUUUGGUAAACCUCUUGUAGGUUUAUUUUCAAAGUUCUCUGCUCGACUACGGUAGACAAUACCGGGGAAGUUGAUGGCUAAAACAGGUCUGUACGCCCUCAGAUGUUCUGGGCCGCACGCGCGCUACACUGAUGCAUGCAGCGAGUUAAUCUAGUGUAAUGCCACCUCUAGGGGUGGUGUUCCUAACCAUGGCCGGAAGGCCUUGGAACUCUUGCCAACGUGCAUCGUGCUGGGGAUUGGGGGUUGGAAUUGUCCCCCAUCAACGAGGAAUUUCUUGUACAGGCGGUUCAUCAAACCGCCUGGAAUAUGUCCCUGCCCUUUGUACACACCGCCCGUCGCUGCGACCGAUUGGAUUGCGUGGUGAAGGCUUCCGGAGGAUGCGUUAGUAGCUUGCUGCUCUCUGCGUCCAAAGCUGUCUGAACCCUGCACUCUAGAGAUUGCAGAAGUCGUAACAAGGUAACCGUAGGUGAACCUGCGGUUGGAUCAUUGGAAUU